rnacentral:lncRNA from 1 species
AUACUGUAUUCAGCACUCACUAGAAACAGGGUAUAGGUGAUAGUAUCAACAGCAAUAGCACUACAGGUAAAUGAUAAACAAAACAAAACAGAAACAAAACCAAUCCCACAAUCUCCAAGUUCACCUGGACUGUAACUUCUCUUGCAACUCUUUCAAAAUAAAGGACAACAGCAACAACAAACAGACCUCUAGGGUGUUUAAAAAGAUGAAGUGGCGCUGCAGAGCUGGGCUCUGCUCAAAGAUGGCAGUGCCAUCUUGUACACACCACCAUCCAUUAUAACCGCCUUCCAUCACUGGAAUUGUAUCUUAUGUAACCAACUAGCAUGCAGCAUUGUAAUCUUACAACUGAUCACGUGGACAGUGAACAGCGGUCAACUUUGUCUUAAAAAAAAAAAAACAAAAAACCCCAAAAGACCACACAAUCCUGAAAAUUUCCCAGCAGCACUCUCAGUCAUCAGUAUCUCAGGAACUGAACUUUUGAGCAAAAUAGAGAUUCAAAAUCCACUUUCCUACUCCUCUGAGGACAAUGUUUCAGGGUAAACUGGUGGUAUUUCCCAGUGGCAUGCCCACUUGACAACAUGCCCGUUCGAUCAUUUCCUUUCCUUCUCCACCACUUGGCCUCCGGCCUGAGAAAGGGGCCAGCAAUAAGGAAUGACAGACAGUAAGGCAAUCUUACAAUGUCAGAAAAUGUAUUUGGCUUUUUUUUUCUUUUUAAAAUAAGUGCAUACAAAUACAGCUAGAAGCAUUUCUGAUUUGCCAAGUGCUCUAAAAAAGCAGCGCAAGUCACAGCCUACAUAGAACGGUAACUGUCACCAGGAUAAUAAAGCACAAAGAUAUGCUAAUAACGUUAACAAAAGAAAAAAAUGUCUUUAUAAGUACAUACCUUUUGUCGUCAAAAAAAAUAUAGAAACACAAUGUAUUCAAAAAAAAUCAAAAUUAUACAGCCAUGUUUAUGAAGUCUACAUUUCCCUUGUCUUGGAUAUAUAUAUAUAUGGAGAUAUAUAUACAAUUCAAGCAGUUUUAAUUAAGGGUAAUCAUUGGGUUUUUCUGAAACCGGAAAAGUCACGAGUCUCUCUCUUUUUUCACUUUCACAUCUCCAGCAAGGAUGGUUGCAAUUUCCCCUUGCAUAAAGGCCCAGGGGACAUUGGAGCCCACAAGAGGGCAUUUUUCCCCACUGGGACAAUAGACCUCUCCACUAGCUCCCUGCUGUUUGAUGCUUUGUCUGGAGCAAGGGAAGCAGAACUUGUGCGAAGGGACGGACGGGCACUGCACAAAAUGGGUGUCCUCCAGCCGCUCGUGGCAGAGGGUGCAGCACAGCGGGGCACUGGUUGCCAGAGAGGAGUCCGGGAGGCUGGCAGGGUGCACUGGCUCCAGUCCUCCUGUGUUGCCUGCUCCCUGGCCCCCCACCUCUCUGGGGCCCAGCCUUCUUUGGUUCAUAGAGGACGGAGAGGGCGGACUGUUGCUAUUCCUCCUGGUAGUGGAGUGAACCUGGUUGGCAUCUUUUGAGGCAUGACUGCCCCCUGCAUUGUCUGCUACUAAGAUCAGGGCUGCCAUGGGGGACUGGGCAUGCGGGGCAGGUCACACAGGUAGCACGACUGCCGCCGGGACGCGGCCGCCACCGCCACC